rnacentral:rRNA from 1 species
GGAGGAAAGUAGGGGAUCGCAAGACCUUGCGCUUUUAGAGCGGCCGAUGUCUGAUUAGCUAGUUGGUGAGGUAAAGGCUUACCAAGGCGUCGAUCAGUAGCUGGUCUGAGAGGACGACCAGCCACACUGGGACUGAGACACGGCCCAGACUCCUACGGGAGGCAGCAGUGGGGAAUUUUGGACAAUGGGGGAAACCCUGAUCCAGCCAUGCCGCGUGAGUGAAGAAGGCCUUCGGGUUGUAAAGCUCUUUCAGCCGGAACGAAACGGUCACGGCUAAUACCUGUGACUACUGACGGUACCGGAAGAAGAAGCACCGGCUAACUACGUGCCAGCAGCCGCGGUAAUACGUAGGGUGCGAGCGUUAAUCGGAAUUACUGGGCGUAAAGCGUGCGCAGGCGGUUUUGUAAGUCAGAUGUGAAAUCCCCGGGCUUAACCUGGGAACUGCGUUUGAAACUACAAAGCUAG